GGGCCAUUAGCUCAGUUGGUAGAGCACCUGACUUUUAAUCAGGGUGUCGAUGGUUCGAAUCCAUCAUGGCUCACCA
rnacentral:tRNA from 1 species